GAUGAAGAACGCAGCAAAAUGCGAUAAGUAAUGUGAAUUGCAGAAUUCAGUGAAUCAUCGAAUCUUUGAACGCACAUUGCGCCCGCCAGUAUUCUGGCGGGCAUGCCUGUUCGAGCGUCAUUUCAACCCUCAAGCCCUCGGGUUUGGUGUUGGGGAUCGGCGAGCCUUUCUGGCAAGCCGGCCCCGAAAUCUAGUGGCGGUCUCGCUGCAGCCUCCAUUGCGUAGUAGUAAAACCCUCGCAACUGGAACGCGGCGCGGCCAAGCCGUUAAACCCCCAACUUCUGAAUGUUGACCUCGGAUCAGGUAGGAAUACCCGCUGAACUUAAGCAUAUCAUAAGCGGAGGA
rnacentral:misc_RNA from 1 species